rnacentral:lncRNA from 1 species
AUUGACUGAAAAUGUUUACACUAGCAAAAAAGAAACUAAAGCUUAAUGGAAAAAAAGUUAUCUUUUUAUAAAGUACCAAUAAAGAAACUAAAGUUUAAUGGAGAUAAAGUACCGACAAUGUUCACACACGCUAUAGAGAAACUAAUGCUUAAUGGAAAUAAAGUACUGACAAUGUUUUUAAAACGCAGAAUAUUAUAUGAUAAAAAAUUUCACAAAUAAUAUUACAAAUAUUUUGUUAAUUUGUAAUAAUUUCUUUUAUUUAAAAUGUUUUUUGCAUUUAAAUUAGCGCUUUUAAAUCCGACCCAAACCUACAGUCAAAUUGAUAAAACCCAUAAAACCCCCUAAA